rnacentral:rRNA from 1 species
UACGUCGGGACCGAGCGUUGUCCGGAAUCAUUGGGCGUAAAGAGCGUGUAGGCGGCCACUUAAGUCCUGCGUGAAAUCUUGCGGCUCAACCGCAAGCGGUCGUGGGAAACUGGGUGGCUAGAGUGCGGGAGAGGAGAGUGGAAUUCCUGGUGUAGCGGUGGAAUGCGCAGAUAUCAGGAGGAACACCAGCGGCGAAGGCGGCGCUCUGGGCCGGAACUGACGCUGAGGAGCGAAAGCGUGGGUAGCAAACAGG